UGACACAUGCUUUCUCGGAGGCUGGCUCACUCGCUCUCUCGUGGGGACACAGAGGUCGUCAGCACACAGAGGGACAUACGGGCAGAUGCUGUCCCUUCCCCCAACCCAAGAACCUUACGGCCAGCCCCCAGCAGGAGCAGACAUGAAGAGGCUGACUGUGGUGCUGGUUCUGGUUGCUGCAG